rnacentral:sRNA from 1 species
GCUGGAUGUGGUGGCUCAUGCCUAUAGUCCCAGCUACUGGGGUAGCUGAGAUGGGAGGAUUGCUUGAGCCCAGGGGUUUGAGGCCAGCCUGGGCAAUAUAGCAAGAACCCAUCUCAA